AUUCUUCCUUGGUCAUUUAGUUUGGCGGACAUAGCCUAUAUUCCAUUUGUUGAAAGGUUCCAGAUCUUCUUAUCAGAAGUAUACAAGUAUGACAUUACAGAGGGUAGGCCAAAACUAGCAUCAUGGAUCGAGGAGCUGAACAAGAUUGAUGCCUUCAAGCAGACAAAAACAGAUCCAAAAGAGCUGGUGGAAUUUUACAAGAAGCGCUUCCAGGCUCAACAGUAAUUUGUCACCAGUUAGACUAUGCUAAAUAAGUUGGUGUGUUAUGAGUGUUUUAUAAUAAAGGCUAUUUAUGCCAUAUGUAUCUGUAUACUAUAGAUAAUGUGCGAAUGUCAGUGAUGUAUUGCAUUUGAA